rnacentral:rRNA from 1 species
GCUUACGGCCAUACCACCCUGAGAACGCCCGAUCUCGUCUGAUCUCAGAAGCUAAGCAUGGUCGGGCCUGGUUAGUACUUGGAUGGGAGACCGCCCGGGAAUACCAGGUGCUGUAAGCU